AAUGGUGUUUGAAAAGCUCAUAACUUAAAAGGUAAAAAAAUAUUCAUUCUUUAUUCCCCCACUUCCCUUGAGCAAAGACUCACAUCUGAUCUAUCAACAUGGCUUGCAAUUAAGCCAGUGCCAUACCUGGACGAUGAGAGGUGCUGAAUAAUUACAAAUGGAUAAUGAAUGAGUAAUAAAAGAAAACACACAUGUGUGUUCUGUGUCCCUGGCACUGAUCUAAGCCCUUGAAAAACUCAUCUAUUCACAUCUACCCUUUUACAGAUGAAUAAACCUCAGGCGCAAAGAGGUGAAACAUCCAGCCCAGAGUGACAUAGUUAAUGACUGCGUUCCAGCAGCCAUGCUCGGAAGCACGUUGCCCCUGCUACUGUUGGGACCCAGAGCCUGACUCAGCUAAGCGAAAGAAGAGACACGAGGGCUCAGCCGAUAGGGAAAAGUAGCGUCUGGCUUCUUGCGCUUCCUGGGGAAGAGCCCAGAGCAUGUUAUGAAGAGAUGUGUGCAGCCCCGAGAAAGUUUAUAAGACGUCACAGCCGAGCUCAUGCUAACUGUCCCCCACUCAUCCUGGGGAGGAGGAACUGGCAGGAAAGGCACGCAAAAAUGUGACAUGGACAAAAUCAACAUGAAUAGCCAAGACAACAUUUUGUGGAAUAACUUUUUGAUAUUACAUAGUAAUUAUGAUUAACAUUAAAGGACUGGAGUGUCAUGCAUA
rnacentral:lncRNA from 9 species